UACGGAGGGUGCGAGCGUUAAUCGGAAUUACUGGGCGUAAAGCGUACGUAGGCGGUUUGUUAAGUCGGAUGUGAAAUCCCCGGGCUCAACCUGGGUGCUGCAUUCGAUACUGGCAGACUUGAAUACGGUAGAGGGGGGUAGAAUUCCAGGUGUAGCGGUGAAAUGCGUAGAGAUCUGGAGGAAUACCAGUGGCGAAGGCGGCCCCCUGGACCGAUAUUGACGCUGAGGUACGAAAGCGUGGGGAGCAAACAGG
rnacentral:rRNA from 1 species